rnacentral:lncRNA from 1 species
AAUUGGAUUUACCUUAUACGAUUAUCAUGCUUACUUAGAAUAUUUUGGAAUACCUUAUUUUCUAUCGAACCCAUGUUCCUUGUAGGAUAUCUGAUGGAUGACGAUAUACUAUUUAGAACAUGUUUUUACAAACUUCUUUAUAGUAUACAUGAUGGAUGACUUUAUACUAUGAAGAUGUUUUUCAGAUAUAUGUACCUAUGUUUGGAAAGAUUAUAUUCAAAGGUUUUGUGCGUAGCUAGUAGAUACAUAUUGACCCUCGGGUUGGGUGCUGUUGGAGCCUGCCGGUGAUGAUACUAAUAUUGACCUGUGGGUUGGGUACGGUAGGAGCCUACGGGCGAUUGAUACUUGUGAAAGAAGUGUUCUGAAGGAAAUGUUCUGAAGGAAGAGUUCUGUAUGCCUUCGGGCACUACUGAUACCACUAGUUAGCACACUAUAUACAAUAUAUGUUUUAUGAAUGUUUUUAUGGCAUGCUAGGGUUUCGGAAAACCUAUCACAUAUUAUACUAUUGAGUUUUCAUAAAAUUUUGGGGGUUAGUAUGUUGAAUAACUAUUUCAGUAUUAUGUAUAUAUUAACUUGGUCUACUUAUGUUUGUUUUGCACCCCCUCAGGAUUUAAAAUCGAGGCGUACAAUCCCUCAAGGCACAUCCGCAUCGGCAUCUUCGAGUCCUCUCAGUGUAGGACCCACUCCUUGUUCAUUAAACUUUACAUUAUUUAUUUUUAGUGUUUUGGUUAGUUGUGUGGUCUAAACACGUUCUUAAGUUGCAUAUUCAUUGUAUUUAAAUUUAUAAGUCUUAUUUAUUCUUCUUUUUCAUGCAUUAUAAUAUGGCUUCAUCACUUUCGGGUGUCGGCCAACACAUGCCUACCCUGGUGUUUGGGAGAAUAUCGGGGGCGGGCGUGUCAGCCUAUGUCGACCUGAGCUCAUUGUUAAAGUUUUCCAUAUUAUCUCCUCUGCAUACUGAAUUAGUUUGUUACAUGACUUUCAACAUCGGAUCGAUACUCUGUAAUCUGCAUUCUCUAAGAAUUGCGGUCGGAGUUUGAUCUACAUAGGAGUGUUGGGAAACAGAAAAAUCUUAGUGGUAAAAGUUGGUUAAGACCAACUGGGGAUCUGAAGCAGUGUUGUACUCUACGACAUGCAUUCCCCAAGAAUGGCGGCCAUAGUCAUGUCUUAGUAGUAAUUACUCGAAACUUUCGAAGUGCGUGUUGGAGAAAACGAGUAAGCACUAGUUGUGAUGAAGUUAGUAAGUGGUAAUUGGUGGGAUCGAAUUGAUGUCCUCAGACUAAUUCCAAUUGAAGAAAUUCGUGUGAAUCUUUAGAGCAAUUCUCUACGAUUGUCCUAUUGAUAACCUUCUUGCUUACUCCAACGAUGAAGUCAAGUUCCUUAACCAUCGACUGUUAGUUUCACGCCAAAUUCUUUGAGCGUUGACUUCAUUUAGACUAAAUACUUUCUUGGGAGACUAUUCGGUAACAUACGUCAUUCUCAUCAAUUUCCAAAAAGUUUGCGACCAUUGGAAAUUGAAAACCCUCACAAUGAGUUGUGAAAUGCAAAGUAUCCUUGGUCUUGUGCUCUAGAUUUGAUGGAUUUGUUUUGACCCUCAAAUUCUUGAGUGUUCUUUUAGCCUUCUCGACAUGGUUUCUCGCUCAAUCAGUGAGGAAUUCAAGAUUGAUCGAUUCGGUGAAAGUGUGCACCUAGUUCAUAUUAUGACAGGAACGUUAGGAGCAAAACCUUUUCACAAGCUUACCAGACUUACCGGAAAGAGUCCCACGUGGAUGUGGGGUUUGAGCCGUCUUUUAGUAAAAGUUUGGUGAAGGUAGUAGUACAGGUGGUCAGCGGAUUGCAUCACAAAUCACUAUCUUCACGUAGAAAUGAAUAGUCAUCUCUUAUUAUUUUGCUGCAAUUCAUAAACAUCAUAAUACUUUGGUAGAUAUUUUCCAACAAUAUGAUGCCUAUGAAUUGUAGCAAGAUGAUGAGAUGUGAUCGCCUCAACGCAUCUUUCCAUUGCUUCACUCUAGGACCUUAUUGUUCAUGAAUACGUAGAUAUGAUUGGUACCCUCUUGAAUGGUACCACAGCGUGGUCGAGGUAAGAAUUGGAUGAUCUUUGCACUUCUGUCGAAAAAUGUGUACUCUCAUGGGGUUUUUAGGUUGAUCACUUGUGAGUCCUUCUUCUUUCCUCCAACAUUGACCUUGUUUGACUAGAAAUCUACAACUAAGCAAAAAUGGAGAGGUGGAUUGAGCACUACAACAGUCCCGAAGAGAUACUGCUUGUUAAGGAAGGUGACUUCUCAUUUUUUUGCUUGCUUGGCUCGAGCUUUUGGGACUGCUAUUAACAUGGUAGCCACUUCUUUUGAAUCCCAAGAUACAGUUUUCAAAUGGGUUCUUUAUUGGCAAAACACUGGAGUAGUUGGUCACAUUUGGAAGAAUCGAGAAUGAUUGGGUGCUUGAUGCUGGAUGGAGUUUUUACGACGACAACUUUUAUUUUGUUUAGUUUGGGGUAUGACACUUUUUGUGACAUGGUAUGAGAGUUUCUACAGACAACACUGGUUGACAGAGGAGUUUUACCAACUGGUAUUCGGAGGAUCGAAUUUACGAUGUGGGAAUUUGUGCACCCUUCGGAAAUUACUACUUGCUUAUCGAGACAACAAUGUGUGGUCGAUAUCGCGGGUAGCCGAUUGUGAUAUCGAUAGCUUAUUCAUUUGGUUCGUUAAGCAAGUGGGCAAGUAGACCCAUCUGCGGUAGCUGUUACUAUGUUGUAUUGUUGGGGCUCGACCCAAAGAUAACUAUUCUCGAAGUACGCGACGUUACGUAUGCUUGGGCAAGACCCACUUUCCUUUGCGGUUUUGGUUUUUAGUACAAGUAUUUUAACUUACCAUAUUAUAGUUAUACUUGUUUUUUGGUGUUACAAAUGUUUUGGGGGAAGUAUUUUCGUUUUUAGUUUUAAGUUCAGCACGAGUUUUCGACCUCUAUGUUAUUACAUAUCUAUUUUGACUUUAUCAUAUUCUACGUACUUACUUUUGACCCUAUGCUAUUAUAUAUUUUUGGCUUUAUAUCUUUAUAAAGUAUGUCUUCUACUUUUUCACUGAUAGGGGAAGAAGGUAUGAGCCUAGAGGCACGAAAGAUGGAAUCAUUUCAACCCUAGCGCGAUGAGGUGGCAUUUUCCCUUUCGUGCAACUGCUCUGACUUGAUUUCUUCUAUAUAUAUAUAUUUUUUUUUUUUCUUCUCCCUAUUUUUGAGUUUUUCUGUGUAUCAAGUUAUUUCAAAUUUUGGGACGAAAUUUUAUUUAACGGGGGUAUAUUGAAACAACCCGUUUUGGUUAUUUAAACGGCUUUUGAAUUAGGAGGACAUUUAUGUAAUUUCACGAAAAAAGGUAUAUUUUCUAAUUUUAGGUUUGCUUUGGGGACCUUAAAUGGUAAGUCGGGUGGGACCCCUUUCUGUUUUUGGUUUCCUGGUCUCCCUUCCCUUAUGGCUGCCACGUGGCAGUCCUCUUUCUUUCCCCCUUCUUCUCUCUUCUCUGUCUCGGAUCCCUCUCUUCUUUCCCAUACAAACUCUCAGCUCUCUUUCUCUCUCUUUCUCUCUCGCAGCUCUCCCAAUUCUCUCUUCCCCUUUUGGUGAACCCUCGCACACACAUACAUGCCUAUAGACCAACCAAACCACUAUCAUCACCUGUGACCUCCCUUCCUUCCCUCACCUUUCCGAUCUCUCUGUCGGCAUUGUACGCGUGGCUCUCCGAUGAGGUAAGUCGAAACUUGCCCAAAAUGUUCCUAAAUUGGGUUUAGUGAGUGUGUUGGUAGUGUUUUAAUGCAUGAACACCUCGGAAACACCUUCACCAUAUUUUCCAGCGAGGAACUUGGCCUUUGCUGGCAUUCUCUAGCCAAUCUCGGCAUCAACUCAACCCCAUCUUGGUAUAUUCUUGUUCCUUGCCUUAAUAUCUACAUUUUUGGUUUUUACAUCAUUGAGAAUGGUUAAAAUUCAAGCUCCAUCGAAGCUCAGGAAUUCUUCGAUCGGUUUUCGGCCUUCUUCUUCCUUGGGGCUGGUGACCCGCAAACUUGAGACCCAAAACCCUUUUUAACCAACCCAAUCCCUUAGCAUUUCAAACCAAAGGACCCAAUUAAAUAACCGGGCUUUCAAGCCCAAAACUCUAGUUUAACUAGGCCCUUGGGCCAUGUACCUUGGCCCAUGC